AGUUCUGACUGUCAAUCGCGGUGCCAGUGUAGUGUGUACUUGCAUGGAGACGCCAUAGACACUUGACAUUGUGAAAUCAACAACACAAUUACACAAUUCCUUUUUCGAAAAUAAAACACAAGACGAUUACACGUUGGAACCCCCAAUCUCUAAACCCAGAAUAUCAUCUAGAAACCUGAGCAGAGAAGCAUACCGUGUGCAGACCUUGGAGAGGCCGGCUGCCGUGUGAGGUAGAGGGAAGGUGGUAGCGGCCGUGGGAUGUAGAGGGAGGUGACCGAGAGAUGGAAGCUGGCCGCGUCCAAUGGAGAGGGAAGCAGCUUCCGCGGUUGUGAGGAGGCGGCGGUCGGCGGAGGGGGCCGCGAGACCGCAACUCGCGAGAGGAAGACCUGGGGGUGAUUGGAGGGGAAAACCUGGGAGAUGAAGAUGAGGACGUUGCCUGUCCAAUAGGUACCGGUGGCCGGUGGGUGCUAUACUUCUUUAUUGUUUAACUUCGGUAGUCUAUUUGACUUAGGUUGAUCAUUCUUGUUAUUUUUGGGGCGUAAUUGAGGAAAUAUGUAAUUUAAUUUAGUUCUAGUAAGUGUACCAAAAUGCUGUGUAUUUCUAAUUAUUUCUCUACUAUGAUUUUGUGCGUGAAGACCAAAAUGUCUUUCAGUUCCUCCAAGAAAAUAGAGCCUGAUAACCAGGAAGAGCAGGUAGUUAGAUCUGCAUUAGCGUGAAAUCUCUGCAUAUAUUUCUUAUGUCAUAAUAAGAAGAUAUUAGCAAGAAAAUGCAGCUAUUUUUUAAUUAAGAAAUACAAUUAUGUACUUAUUUCUUCCUUCCGUCUAGAGUUUGCUCAGCUCUUGCAUAAUCUUAUCUUCCACACAUUUAGGUCUUGUUUGGAAGCUUAGUAUUUUUGCAGUUUUGAGAUAAUACUAUGUUAUUUAAUGAUACUGUGGUAUUGAAAGCAAGAUAUAUAUUCAAAACAGGAGAACAUGCCCACUAUCAGGUUUAGACAGCAACUGAACAUGCCCACUAUCAGGUUUAGACAGCAUGAACUUAUUCAGUUCAUAUAAACAGAUUACCUAAACAAUAUCACAACAGGAUCAAGAUAUAUAUUCAAAACUGUGCCCACUCAAGACAGCAUGAACUUAUUCAGUUCUAGAAGCACAUAACUCAAGACAGCAUGAACUUAUUCAGUUGAUAAACUAUCAGGUCUAGACACUAGACAGAACAAAAAAAACGUUUCCUUGCCGCAGAGGAAGAUCUAGCAUGAACGAAGUGCCAAGCCUGUCCUCCAGUUCCAAAGAACUGAACCUGCUGCUCUGUCGGCCACCCUUGGAGCAACAACUAGCCCACCAUGGGUUCAAUCAUGUCCUCCAGUUCCAAAGAACUAUCGCGGCGUGAACCUUUGGAACACUAACGGCGCCCGAGACCGGAUCAAGGCUACCAUGGGUUCGGAUAAAUCAAGGCUACCCUUGUAGCAACAACUAGCCCACCCUGCCGUCAGGAAGAUCUAUCGCGGCUACGAUUCACAACCAAUAAUCCUGACGCCGAAGCUAAUCACAGAUUCACAACCACUAAUCCUGAGAGCUUGCUUACAGAGUUACAGGGAAAGGUUACCUUGGCCGGUUGAGCAGGGAAGCCACCGCCGGAGCUACCGGGAGGAGGGACCGAGGGAGCAGGGAGCCCCGGGAGGAGGGAGCAGCCGAGCAGGGAGCCAGGGAGCACCGGGAGGAGGGAGCAGCCGAACAGGGAGCACCGGGAGGAGGAGCAGGGAGCGCCGCGUCGGAGGGAGAGGGACCCCGAGAGGCCGAGACCGAGUCGCCGAGACAGAGAGCCGCGACCGCCGCACGAAGAGGCAGUAGGACGCAGGUGGGAGGGAGAGUGCGUUAGGGUUAGAGUUGCCGCCUUGCCGGACGCGCAUGACUUAUACAUGGAGUUGCGGGCUUGCGGCCAUGCUGCGGCGGAGUUGGGCCGUCCGCGUGCGCAAGGCAGCCUAGGUCCCAGGUCCCAGCUGAAAUUGUUGAACGGGCCGGUUUAAAAGCUCGGCGGAUAACGGGUCGUGCUCGGGCCAACCCAAAUGGCUCAGGGCGUGUUCGGCUGGCUACAAGCCGACACUGUUGCAGCUGUUUGGAUUGCUGCAGCUGCAAUCCAUAGAGAGAAAAAUACUGUAGAAGCCGCAGCCGCAGCCGGAUUGCAGCCGCAGCAAGCCGCAGCGAACAAGCUGUCAAAUUCUUCGUUUCAGUUCUCAUCUUUUGUUUUUUUUCCUGCAUGCAUGCAUGCAUCGCAUCGAUCUUGAUGAAUUGCAGCGAGGAUGGAUCAUGAAGCCAGCGGGCUACGACCCCUGCACGGCGGAGUACUCGGAGGUCUACUUCAAUCGACCCGACGUCCAGGCGGCGCUGCACGCGAACGUGACAAAGAUCGGCUACAACUGGACACGCUGCAGGUGCGUCGUGCCUCUCUCUCUUUCUCUCUCUUCUCUCAUUACUCUUCAGGUUUUAGGAGCACCGAAACUGAAAAGCUCGAAUCGAACUGUGUUGCUGUUCGCGCAUGGAGCGAUGCGAUCUACACUUGGAACGACGCCGCCUUCUCCACCCUCCCCGUCAUCCGCAAGCUGGUCGCCGGCGGCCUCAGGUUGUGGGUGUUCAGCGGCGACACCGACGGAAGGAUCCCCGUGACGUCGACGAGGCUCACCCUCCACAAGCUCGGGCUCAAGACCGUCCAGGAGUGGACGCCGUGGUACGACCAUCUGCAGGUAACUUAACCUGACUUUUGUUUUUUUCAGGAGCAGCUGCAUCGACUGACUCUAACGUCUUCCUCCGCCGAAAAAAAAACAGGUUGGUGGAUGGACGAUCGUGUACGAGGGCCUGACAUUCGUCACGAUCCGCGGCGCUGGGCAUGAGGUGCCUUUGCACGCGCCGCGGCAGGCGCUGACGCUCUUCAGCAACUUCCUGGCAGGCACCAAGAUGCCCCCAACGGCGUUCCCCUAACUGCUGUCUCCCCCUCUUCUCUCUCUCUCUCUCUCGCUUCUACCAAAGAUGCAUGUGUAAUUCGAUCGGAAAAAAAGGAAAAGGUUCAGGAAUAAAAGUCAGUCAGGUUUUAAUAGAGAAGAUUCAUAAUGCUCAAAAUCACAACGUACUGUGCUGUCUCUUGAAUGUGUCCUCCAAGACUGUCGCAGUAGCUGACAGCAUAUGAAACAUUAAACAAGACACCUCCGUAGUGUUGCGCAGCAGAAACUGACGGAAAUACUGAGCAACUAAAUAAAUAGAUCAGAAGUAACAACUGUUGAAUUCCAGGAUUUAUUACAUCACAGACCAAGCAUCGGGAAUCCGGGAUACAGAAUACAGAAUACACACACAUGAAUGGUUAGGACUUAUUAGGAAACAAGAACCACCAAGUUCACAGACAGACAGCACACAGCAAACCUGACAACAUAUGGACUGACAUAGGCUCUUGGCUUGGCACAUGUUCUACAUCUAACCUUUCUUUGGCAUGGCAGCCAGCCUUGUAUACAUGCGGGCCAUUGAUUGAUAGCCUCUGAUGUCACCCGACCGCAGGAGAUUGCCUAUGAUUGAGCAAAAAGAUAGCCAGAAAGUGAGACAGAUUCAGACUACUUGAUAGGCUUAUCUCGGGCAGCACAUGAUUAAUCAGAAAGGUAUAACUGCACAUUUAGAGGAUCCUAGCUCAUGGUAGCAAAAAGUCCAUUGAUGAUAUCAUAUUAAGAGAGAAAAUAUAUACAUAAAUUUAAAAAGCCAGUGAGAUGACGGUGGUAUCUUUGCUUUAAGGGCAACAAAUCACACAGUAAACCAUAAAGAUAACAAACAUAUCAAUUGAAUGGAAAAUGAGAAAGACCAGCGUCGCUUAUUUUGGUAGGGGCCAUAUUGUAACGAUGUAGAUUAAUUAGAUGGACAGAUCAGGCACAGUGGUGAUAAGCCUUUCCACUGAGCCAAAGGUCCUGGGUUUGACACAGCCUCUCUGCAAAAAUGCGGGAGUAAAGCUUGCCUCGGUUGUUCCUUCUCCAGACUCCACUCAUGUGGGAGACGCUAACACUGGGUUUGUCUGUAGUGUAAUUAGAUCUAGAAGUUACAACAGCUAGUUGAAUUACAAAAUAGUGAUGCAACUGCUCCUUCAAAUCUAGCUGUGCUGUAGCACAACAGUUCUGCUACUACAUUUGAUAACUCGGAAUGACUUUUUUCUUCUUCUUUUGGCUACCACCUUAAGAGUAAAGAGUGGUUCCCAUGCUGCGAUGUCACUCCUGACUCCUGAGUCCUGAUACUUGAGAUGUAUUCUCAGGUCUCCAUUACAGCAAUAGCUUAAUAUUUCUUAUAUGUCCUAAAGUACAUAUGUUAAAGUCCACAACAUUAAGAUUAAUAUUAUAUCAACUCAGUCUAAUUCAUAAAGAUAGAAAAGUAGUAGAACGUCGUAGUUUUUCGUGUACUGUAGUUUGAUAUAGAGUGAGAAGAGGUACCUGAAUCACAGUUAAGUGGGCUGUCUGGUUCAGGAUGGGCCAUCAGAGCAAUUAUCGCUCUACAAACAGACUGAAGGGUCCAUGCAGGGCUCCAUGCAUUCUUCAAUAUAUCAAGACAAAUUUCACCUGUCUAAAAACAGGAAAAAAGGAAACAAAUGUAACUAAACAGAAAUUUCCACUUCCCCUUGAUUCAGAUUUAAUAAAUGACAAAACAGGGCAUUGCAGUCUCAUAUAACCUUGAAAUGCACAUUUGGGUGGAAAAUUUUGGUUAAAAAUCGAACUUGAGGAGGCAGUAGAGGAUACUGCUCUGGAAUUGCGAACGCAAGUUGAAACACACCACCUUCAUAAGGUGUUUCAGAAGGGCCCUAACCACAUAAAUAUAGAUAAUUAGAAGAGGCAAUAGUAAACGUACGAUCUUUCCUGUUACGGCAAUAAAAAAUAACCUUGAUAAGAGCAGUCCACUUGAAUAUGUUGGAAUCAUCACAUAUUAACUGGAUAUCAGGGUCAGCUGACUUCUCUCGUUGUACCUCCUUGUACUCCUUGAAAAGCCUUGCCCUAGAUGCCUAGAGAUAAAAAAAAAUAUUGCCAAAAAGCUUUAGGUUUCAUGUUAAGAACCCUUGCGGCACAAAAUAUCCGAUGGGUGUGGUGCAGGAUUUGAUGUAGCAUGUAGAAAUUUCCUGGUUACUAUAAACUAUAUUGCAAGUAAUUAACACUUUAACAGGUUCAUUUCAUUCAUCAUUAUUAUACUUAUGACAUACUUGAACCAAUAUGGCAAUACACAAUAAACUUGUGGUAACAACAAAAAAAUCACAUUGCUCCCUAUAAAAUGCAGAUUUCUAGCUAUUAGAUCUCGCAUAUUGGUAUAAUGGAUGCAUCAAGUAGCAUAAGGAAACAUGAUCAUUCAAAUUUUAUGGGAUGGCUGGCAUAUUGCACGGAUAUGCAAUCAAUGUGCCAAUGAAGCAAUGAUGCACUCACCUGCAUCUUCUCCUUUCUCUACUAGAGUUAUGACCACAGUGCUGAUAUAGGCAAAUGCGUCGCUGAAUGCUGGCAAAAUAAGAAAUAAGACUAAGUUCGAAAGAUACAGUGAAACUCUAUAGUGAAAAUGAACCAUGAUGGGCUUAUCACGGGUAGGGAUGUCAACGGGGCUGCUCCCCGUCGGGGACUGCUCCCCGUACCCGUACCCACCAAAAUAAAAAUUCCCUGUUCCCCGUCCCCGUCCCCGUCGGGUAUACGGGGAUCCGAUGGGGAAAAAUCCCCGCCAACAGCCCAGUUAAAAAUCAUGUCCAGCACAAUAAAUCAGUAGCAUAUUACAUUUGCAAAUAUAUAAACAACACAAAUCAUAGCAGCUAUUGCAACUAUGGCAUGGUACAUCACAAGUCACUAAUACAAUAAUAAGAAGUAAUAACCCUAUUAUAUAGUACAGCCACAAUGCCACAUAGCAGUACCAGACUACUAGCUAUUACACACAUGAAUGAAGCCGAGCAGCCGAGCAGCACGUGACCCCCUAAAUUUUGGUAAACAAGCUGCACCAACACCUUGAUUAGAUAACAAGAAAGCAAGAACUCGUACACUGUCAACUCAUGUCGACCUUGCCCGUUUUCAAGAACAAAAAUCUAGACAGGCCACGGAUCGAUGUAUUGGAUUAGCAGGGCAUCCGUCAGCACACAAAUCUACAACUAACUGAACGAAUCAGAAGAAGGAUUUUAGGGUUCGAUUGCCAACAAAGCCCUUCGGACUAGGGAAUCCAAGCAAGCUCGUGUAUGAUUGCUUACACGUUGGAACCCCCAAUCUCUAAACCCAGAAUAUCAUCUAGAAACCUGAGCAGAGAAGCAUACCGUGUGCAGACCUUGGAGAGGCCGGCGGCCGUGUGAGGUAGAGGAAAGGUGGUAGCGGCCGUGGGAUGUAGAGGGAGGUGACCGAGAGAUGGAAGCUGGCCGCGUCCAAUGGAGAGGGAAGCAGCUUCCGCGGUUGUGAGGAGGCGGCGGUCGGCGGAGGGGGGCGCGAGACCGCAACUCGCGAGAGGAAGACCUGGGGGUGAUUGGAGGGGAAAACCUGGGAGAUGAAGAUGAGGACGUUGCCUGUCCAAUAGGUACGGGUGGGUGCUAUACUUCUUUAGUUGUUUACCUUUGAUAGGCUAUUUGACUUGGGUCGAUCAUUCUUGUUAAUUUUGGGGCGUAAUUGAGAAAAUAUGUAGUUUGAUUUAGUUCUAGUAAGUGUACAAAAUACUGUGUAUUUCUAAUUAUUUCUCUACUAUGAUUUUGUGCGUGAAGACCAAAAUGCCUUUCAUUUCCUCCAAGAAAAUAGAGCUGAUAAGCAGGAAGAGCAGGUAGUUAGGUCUGCAUUAGCGUGAAAUCUCUGCAUAUAUUUCUUAUGUCAUAAUAAGAAGAUAUUAGCAAGGAAAUGCAGCUGUUUUUUAGAUUAAGAAAUGCAAUUGUGUACUUAUUUCUUCCUUCCGUUUAGAGUUUGUUCAGCUCUUGCAUAAUCUUAUCUUCCACACAUUUAGGUCCUGUUUGGAAGCUUAGUAUUUUUGCAGUUUUGAGAUAAUACUAUGUUAUUUAAUGAUACUGUGGUAUUGAAAGCAAGAUAUAUAUUCAAAACAGGAGGAACAUGCCCACUAUCAGGUUUAGACAGCAACUGAACAUGCUCACUAUCAGGUUUAGACAGCAUGAACUUAUUCAGUUUAUAUAAACAGAUUACCUAAACAAUAUCACAACAGGAUCAAGAUAUAUAUUCAAAACUAUGCCCACUCAAGACAUCAUGAACUUAUUCAGUUCUAGAAGCACAUAACUCAAGACAGCAUGAACUUAUUCAGUUGAUAAACUAUCAGGUCUAGACACUAGACAGAACAAAAAAAACGUUUCCUUGCCGCAGAGGAAGAUCUAGCAUGAACGAAGUGCCAAGCCUGUCCUCCAGUUCCAAAGAACUGAACCUGCUGCUCUGCCGGUCACCCUUGGAGCAACAACUAGCCCACCAUGGGUUCAAUCAUGUCCUCCAGUUCCAAAGAACUAUCGCGGCGUGAACCUUUGGAACACUAACGGCGCCCGAGACCGGAUCAAGGCUACCAUGGGUUCGGAUAAAUCAAGGCUACCCUUGGAGCAACAGCUAGCCCACCCUGCCGCCAGGAAGAUCUAUCGCGGCUCUGAUUCACAACCAAUAAUCUUGACGCCGAAGCUAAUCACAGAUUCACAACCACUAAUCCUGAGAGCUUGCUUACAGAGUUACAGGGAAAGGUUACCUUGGCCGGUUGAGCAGGGAAGCCACCGUCGGAGCUGCCGAGAGGAGGGACCGAGGGAGCAGGGAGCGCCGGGAGGAGGGAGCAGCCGAGCAGGGAGCCAGGGAGCACCGGGAGGAGGGAGCAGCCGAACAGGGAGCACUGGGAGGAGGAGCAGGGAGCGCCGUGCCGGAGGGAGAGGGACCCCGAGAGGUCGAGACCGAGUCGCCGAGACAGAGAGCUGCGGCCGCCGCACGGAGAGGCAGUAGGACGCAUGUGGGAGGGAGAGUGCGUUAGGGUUAGGGUUGUCGCCUUGCCGGACGCGCAUGACUUAUACAGGGAGUUGCGGGCUUGCGGCCGUGCUGCGGCGGAGUUGGGUCGUCCGCAUGCGUAAGGCAGCCUAGGUCCCAGGUCCGAGCUGAAAUUGUUGAACGGGCCAGUUUAAAAGCUCGGCGGAUAACGGGUCGUGCUCGGGCCAGUCCAACUGGCUCAAAUUCCUGUCAAGCCCGACACACUAUCCGGGUCAGGCUAAGCCCGGACCCGCUUCAUUCCGUGAUGUAUUGGGCAAGUAUGUGCUAAAAAAAUGUGCUUCGUGCUGGGCUAACGGGCCACAUGCUUUGUGGACAUCUAUAGAUAAGGUUACAACUAUGGAUCUAUGGGAUAGCGUUGACAGUUGAGAGGUUUUUUAUUCGGCAAAUUGACACGACGGACAUGGAGUGAUGUCAUUUGAAUUUGAUUGAGAAGUAGAGGGUACUGGAUCGGGUUUAUUUUUAUUUUCUAUUUGUUUGGUUUCAUAGAGAAAGCGGAGUGGUUGAUAGAGUUUUUAUAUGAAAUUUACUAUAAAUAGAUAUAAUGCUCAUGUUAUCGGAUGCGAGGUUUUUCAACCAAACAAAGGAUGUAGCGGCUCAGCUCUAUUCUAUCCUUCAAACAAACAAAAAAGGAGCGACUUUAUUAUGUUUGCCAUACGUAAAAUAGAACGGAUGCAUUCUUUAAAACUUAAAUGAAACGCUCCAUUAUAGUUGACUCUCUAGCCAAACACACCCAAAAUCAAGCUAAAGACAACCCCCACAACGUGUAGAUCUCAGGUGAAGCUUAGUAAUAGUUCACCCAAAAGCUAUUUUUAUGCAAGAAAUUAGCAAACUAUACCAUGCGAGAGGGAGAGCUUAAAUCAGACGAAGAACAUAUCUCAACCAAGAACUACCAAUAGUACUAUAAAUACCACAUCUCAGCCAAGAGCUAUUUUUAUACAUAAAUAUCAAAUCUCAGCCAGGAGUGUCACAACAGCGAGAGGGAAAGCUCGUACGUGGGAAGAGGAGACGCAAAAGCUCGCACGCGCGGGGGGAGAGCUCAAGUGAGAGGGGAGCUCGCUCGAGGGGGAGAGGAGACGCGAGAGGGAGAGCUAGAGGAGAGGAGAUGACAGUAGCCAAGAACCAUAACACGAGGAGAGCAUGAGGGAUGCAGGCGCUUUGGCCGAGCGCAGCCUGGCUCGCGGGCAACGUGCCUUUUGGCCGUAUCCCAGGGGCAUGGCCGAGGCCAACGUUUUGAACGAGUCUGGCCUGGUCCAGACCCACAUUCAAGUAAACAAAUAGAUGGACUUGUCUAAUUUUUACAUCUGUAGAGUUUUGCACGGGUGCACAUACCCAACCAAACACACGAUAUAUUAACCGUUGGAGCAACUCUCGCCCAUUGUUGAGCCACGUAGUCUUCACCCACAACCUCAAGCUGUUUGAUGUUAUUCCUCAGCAAAAUAUGCUAAUCGGUUUGCGCCGCCGUAAUGCACAAGGUCAUGCUCAGGGGCGAAGCCAGGAUCCGAAGACAGAGGGGGCAGGCUUAGCCUCCAAGCAACCAAACCAGCAAGGACACAAUAUAAAAAUGGCAAGGGAAUCAACCACAAUGUAUAUAUUGAUAUAUAAUCUUCAUUAAAAACAGUAUAAUGAAACAACAUCUAUUUUGUCAAACAAAAUAAAAUUACAUCUUAGUUAUUUUGAAUUUAGCUCUGCGUGUAUUAGCUAGAUCAUAGGCCUUGAUAAUAUCAUCAGAACAAAUCAUUGCCGCUAAUUCCCUUUUAAUAUAAACGACCAGAUAAUCUCGUAAAUAGACAUCUCCCAUUUUUCUUCGAAGACGUGUCUUUACAAAUUUCAUAGCUGAAAAGGCUCUCUUUGUGGUCGCAGUUGACACAGGGAGAGUUAAGAGUAAUCUCAAUAAUUUAUCUACCAUCGGAUAAGAAGAAUCUUUACCUAGCUUAACUAAUCCACUUGGUUGGCCAAAAAUUAAGGGUUUCAGACUACCAAAUAAUAAACUGGCAGCAAGAUAAUGGGCUAUAGGAUACAUUAUUAAUCUGACUUGGUUGGGCCAUUGGGGGUGCCAGGCUCACUCCGGACCCCCUGGUGGCUUCGCCACUGGUCAUGCUAUCUGACGUAUGCACGUUAGCUGACAUUCUUAGGCUGGCUCCAGCAAGGGUCUCUAAAGGGUUCUCUACCCUAAAUAUAGAGGAUCAAACGGUCAUCUACGCUCUCUAGCAACGUCCUCUAAACGGUCCUCUAAAUUUAGAGGACACUGCUGAAUCCACUAUAUAUAGAGUUUUUCUAAAUGGUCCUCUAUCCAUUUGAAUACUUUAAAUAAGCAGUUUAGCAAAACUAAAAUGUGUACAAUACAUUUGAGAGUAUGACAAAUACGUAUGUAUAAACAAUAAAAAUAAAAAUGUCUCUAAUGUAGGUAUUUGAGUAUAGAGGACUGAAAGGGAAAUGUGUCCUUGGGCCAUUUCCAUUAUUGUUUUGGUGAUUAGAUGUCCAACACAUUGUUUGGAACUCAUAUGUGCUAAGUAGGUGAAAACUGCACAACGAAGAACAAGAUAUGUGUCUAGACUUAGUAAAUUAUUUUUUUGAAUGCUAACAUGUUUAUCUAAGUGCUAGAAACAGUGCCAAGAAAAGAAGAAAAGAAUCGGAGAAGAUAUGCCACAUUAAAAAAACUGCUUAACCAUGUUGGAUAUUUGUGAAUAACUUUCGUACAUCCUUCACUACAAAAAAUCUUCGCCACUUAUAUUAGCAUUUUUUUGUUUUCGAUUGCAAUUGAAUGCAAGCUAAAGUUUUCCCUCAACUCUAUGAAGCAUAAAACAAUUUUAAAUAUUUUAUUAUUUGUCCUGGGAACUCUGAAUAGAAAAAGGUUAAUAAACAAAUAAUAAUCCUGAUAUCACUUUUAUAAUUAUGGUUUUACAUUAAUUUUUGCCCUUUCCUCCCAUGUAUUUAACUCCAAAAGACUGAGCUAAUAAUUCCUCUCAUCUCUCUACCAUAUGGACAUUUUAUUGUUCCGUUGGUUACACUAUUGCAAUUAGAAAAAUAUUGAAAGGGAAUUAGGCUUACACCUAGUUCCUAAAUAAUUUUGGUGGUUGAAUUGCCCAACACAAACAAUUGGACUAACUAGUCUGCUCUAGUGUAUAAGUUAUACAGGUGCUAAAGGUUCACACUCAGCCAAUAAAAAGAUCAAUUGUUGGAUUCAACAAAAGAGCAAAGGGCCAACCGAAGGCACCUCUGGUCUGGCGCACCGGACUGUCCGGUGUGCCACCGGACAUGUCCGGUGCACCAGAGGACUCCAACUCGAACUCGCCACCUUCGGGAAUUUCCAGAGGCACUCGCGCUAUAAUUCACCGGACUGUCCGGUGUACACCGGACAGUGUCCGGUGCGCCAAGGAAGAGCGGCCUCAGGAACUCGCCAGCUUCGGGAAACUCCAACGGCUAGUCCGCUAUAAUUCACCGGACUGUCCGGUGUGCACCGGACUGUCCGGUGCGACUCCGGAGCAACGGCUACAUCGCGCCAACGGCUACCUGCGACGCAUUAAUUGCGCGCGCAGCGCGCGCAGAAGUCAGGCGCGCCCAUACUGGCACACCGGACAAGGAACAGUACGUGUCCGGUGUGCACCGGACACCCAGGCGGGCCCACAAGUCAGAAGCUUCAACGGUCGAAUCCAACGGCAGUGAUGACGUGGCAGGGGGCACCGGACUGUCCGGUGCGCCAUCGGGCAGACAGGCUGCCAACGGCCACUUUUGGUGGUUGGGGCUAUAAAUACCCCAACCACCCCACCAUUCAUUGCAUCCAAGUUUUCCACUUCCCAACUACUACAAGAGCUCUAGCAUUCAAUUCUAGACACACCAAAGAGAUCGAAUCCUCUCCAAAUCCCACACAACGCCAUAGUGACUAGAGAGAGUGAUUUGCUUGUGUUCUUUCGAGCUCUUGCGCUUGGAUUGCUUUCUUCUUUCUUGAUCCUUUCUUUGCAAUCAAACUCACUUGUAAUUGAGGCAAGAGACACCAAUCUUGUGGUGGUCCUUGCGGGAACUUUGUGUUCCAAGUGAUUGAGAAGAGAAAGCUCACUCGAUCCGUGGAUCGUUUGAGAGAGGGAAGGGUUGAAAGAGACCCGGCCUUUGUGGCCUCCUCAACGGGGAGUAGGUUUGCAAGAACCGAACCUCGGUAAAACAAAUCUCCGUGUCUCACUUGCUUAUUCGCUUGGGAUUUGUUUUGCGCCUCUCUCGCGAACUCGUUUCUUUAUUAUUAACGCUAACCCGGCUUGUAGUUGUGUUUAUAUUUGUAAAUUUCAGUUUCGCCCUAUUCACCCCCCCUCUAGGCGACUAUCAAUUGGUAUCAGAGGCCGAUGCUUCAUUAGAGCCUAACCGCUCGAAGUGAUGUCGGGAGAUCACGCCAAGAAGGAGAUGGAGACCGGCGAAAAGCCCACUACAAGCUACGGGAGCACUUCAUCGGAAGAGUCCCGCACCAAAAGGAGGGGGAAGAAGAAGAUCUCCUCCAACAAAGGGAAGGAGAAGAAAUCUUCUUCUCACCACAAAGAGAAGAAGGAAAAAUCUUCUUCCCACAAGCAACAUCGGAGCGGGGACAAGCAAAAGAGGAUGAGGAAAGUGGUCUACUACGAGACCGACACUUCAUCAACAUCGACCUCCGGCUCCGAUGCGCCCUCCGUAACUUCUAAACGCCAAGAGCGUAAGAAGUUUAGUAAGAUCCCCCUACACUACCCUCGCAUUUCUAAACAUGCACCCUUACUUUCCGUCCCAUUAGGCAAACCUCCAACUUUUGAUGGUGAAGAUUAUGCUAGGUGGAGUGAUUUAAUGCGAUUUCAUCUAACCUCACUCCACAAAAGUAUAUGGGAUGUUGUUGAGUUUGGUGCACAGGUACCAUCGGUAGGGGAUAAGGACUAUGAUGAGGAUGAGGUGGCCCAAAUCGAGCACUUCAACUCUCAAGCAACAACGAUACUCCUCGCCUCUUUAAGUAGAGAGGAGUAUAACAAAGUGCAAGGGUUGAAGAGCGCCAAGGAGGUUUGGGAUGUGCUCAAAACCGCGCACGAGGGAGAUGAGCUCACCAAGAUCACCAAGCGGGAAACGAUCGAGGGGGAGCUCGGUCGGUUCCGGCUUCGCAAAGGGGAGGAGCCACAACACAUGUACAACCGGCUCAAGACCUUGGUGAACCAAGUGCGCAACCUCGGGAGCAUAAAGUGGGACGACCACGAGGUGGUUAAGGUUAUUCUAAGAUCUCUUAUUUUCCUUAACCCCACUCAAGUUCAAUUAAUUCGUGGUAAUCCUAGAUAUACUAAAAUGACCCCCGAGGAAGUUAUCGGGCAUUUUGUAAGUUUUGAGUGCAUGAUCGAAGGCUCGAGAAAGAUCAACGAGCUUGACGAACCCACCACAUCCGAAGCUCAACCCGUCGCAUUCAAGGCGAUGGAGGAAAAGAAGGAGGAGGCUACACCAAGUCGACAACCUAUAGACGCCUCCAAGCUCGACAAUGAGGAAAUGGCGCUCGUCAUCAAGAGCUUCCGCCAAAUCCUCAAGCAAAGGAGGGGGAAAGACUACAAGUCCCGCUCCAAGAAGGUUUGCUACAAAUGUGGUAAGCCCGGUCAUUUUAUUGCUAAAUGUCCUAUAUCAAGUGACAGUGACCGAGGCGACGACAAGAAGGGGAGAAGAAAGGAGAAGAAGAGGUACUACAAGAAGAAGGGCGGCGAUGCCCAUGUUUGUCGGGAGUGGGACUCCGACGAAAGCUCAAGCGACUCCUCCGACAACGAGGACGCCGCCAACAUCGCCGUCACCAAGGGACUCCUCUUCCCAAAUGUCGGCCACAAGUGCCUCAUGGCAAAGGACGGCAAACGGAAAAAGGUUAAAUCUAACUCCUCCACUAAAUAUGAAUCUUCUAGUGAUGAUAAUGCUAGUGAUGAGGAGGAUAAUUUGCGUUCCCUUUUUGCCAACCUUAACAUAGCACAAAAGGAAAAAUUAAAUGAAUUAGUUAGUGCUAUUCAUGAAAAGGAUGACCUUUUGGAUUCCCAAGAGGAUUGUCUAAUUAAAGAAAACAAGAAACAUGUUAAGGUUAAAAAGGCUUAUGCUCUAGAAAUUGAGAAGUGUGAAAAAUUAUCUAGCGAGCUAAGCACUUGCCGUGAGAUGAUUGACAACCUUAGGAACGAAAAUGCUAGUUUAAAUGCUAAGGUUGAUUCUCAUGUUUGUAAUGUUUUAAUUCCCAAUCCUAGAGAUAAUAAUGAUAAUUUGCUUGCUAGGAUUGAAGAAUUAAACAUUUCUCUUGCUAACCUUAAGGUAGAAAAUGAAAAUUUAAUUGCUAAGGUUAAAGAACUAGAUGUUUGCAAUACUACCAUUUCCAAUCUUAGAGAUAAAAAUGAUAUUCUUCAUGCUAAGAUUGUUGAACUUAAUUCUUGCAAACCCUCUACAUCUAUUGUUGAGCAUGUAUCUAUUUGUACUAGAUGUAGAGAUGUUGAUAUUAAUGCUAUGCAUGAUCAUAUGACUCUAAUUAAACAACAAAAUGAUCACAUAGCAAAACUAGAUGCUAAAAUUGCCGAGCACAACUUAGAAAAUGAGAAAUUUAAAUUUGCUCGUAGCAUGCUUUAUAAUGGGAGACGCCCGGGCAUCAAGGAUGGCAUUGGCUUCCAAAGGGGAGACAAUGUCAAACUUAAUGCCCCUCCUAAAAGAUUGUCCAACUUUGUUAAGGGCAAGGCUCCCAUGCCUCAGGAUAACGAGGGGUACAUUUUAUACCCUGCCGGUUAUCCUGAGAGCAAAAUUAGGAGAAUUCAUUCUAGGAAGUCUCACUCUGGCCCUAAUCAUGCAUUUAUAUAUAAGGGUGAGACAUCUAGCUCUAGGCAACCAACCCAUGCUAAGUUGCCUAGAAAGAAAACUCCUAGUGCAUCAAAUAAUCUUAAUAUUUCUUUUAAAACUUUUGAUGCAUCUUAUGUUUUAACUAACAAAUCCGGCAAGUUAGUUGCCAAAUAUGUUGGGGGCAAGCACAAGGGAUCCAAGACUUGUGUUUGGGUACCCAAAGUUCUUGUGUCUAAUGCCAAAGGACCCAAAACUAUUUGGGUACCUAAAGUCAAGAACUAAACUUAUUUUGUAGGUUUAUGCAUCCGGGGGCUCAAGUUGGAUACUCGACAGCGGGUGCACAAACCACAUGACUGGGGAGAAAAAGAUGUUCUCCUCAUAUGAGAAAAACCAAGAUCCCCAAAGAGCGAUCACAUUCGGGGAUGGAAAUCAAGGUUUGGUCAAAGGUUUGGGUAAAAUUGCUAUAUCUCCUGACCAUUCUAUUUCCAAUGUUUUUCUUGUUGAUUCUUUAGAUUACAACCUACUUUCUGUAUCUCAAUUAUGUCAAAUGGGCUACAACUGUCUUUUUACUGAUAUUGGUGUCACUGUCUUUAGAAGAAGUGAUGAUUCAAUAGCAUUUAAGGGAGUGUUAGAGGGUCAGCUAUACUUGGUAGAUUUUGAUAGAGCUGAACUCGACACUUGCUUAAUUGCUAAAACUAACAUGGGUUGGCUCUGGCAUCGCCGACUAGCCCAUGUUGGGAUGAAGAAUCUUCACAAGCUUCUAAAGGGAGAACACAUUUUAGGAUUAACAAAUGUUCAUUUUGAGAAUGACAGGAUUUGUAGCGCAUGCCAAGUAGGGAAGCAAGUUGGCACUCAUCAUCCGCAUAAGAACAUAAUGACAACCGACAGGCCACUGGAGCUCCUACACAUGGAUCUAUUCGGCCCGAUUGCUUACAUAAGCAUCGGCGGGAGUAAGUACUGUCUAGUUAUUGUGGAUGAUUAUUCUCGCUUCACUUGGGUAUUCUUUUUACAGGAAAAAUCUGACCUUAAAGGGAUUCUUGAGACGGGCUCAAAAUGAGUUCGGUUUAAGGAUCAAGAAAAUAAGAAGCGACAACGGGACGGAGUUCAAGAACUCUCAAAUAGAAGGCUUUCUUGAGGAAGAGGGCAUCAAGCAUGAGUUCUCUUCUCCCUACACGCCACAACAAAACGGUGUAGUGGAGAGGAAGAAUCGAACUCUAUUGGACAUGGCAAGGACCAUGCUUGAUGAGUACAAAACUUCGGAUCGGUUUUGGGCGGAGGCGGUCAACACCGCUUGCUACGCCAUCAACCGGUUGUAUCUACACCGAAUCCUCAAGAAGACAUCAUAUGAACUCCUAACCGGUAAAAAGCCCAACAUUUCAUAUUUUAGAGUUUUUGGUAGCAAAUGCUUUAUUCUUGUUAAAAGAGGUAGAAAAUCUAAAUUUGCUCCUAAGACUGUAGAAGGCUUUUUACUUGGUUAUGACUCAAACACAAGGGCAUAUAGGGUCUUUAACAAGUCCACCGGACUAGUUGAAGUCUCAUGUGACGUUGUGUUUGAUGAAACUAACGGCUCUCAAGUAGAGCAAGUUGAUCUUGAUGAGAUAGGUGAAGAAGAGGCUCCAUGCAUCGCGUUAAGGAACAUGUCCAUUGGGAAUGUGUGUCCUAAGGAAUCCGAAGAGCCUCCAAGUACACAAGAUCAACCAUCCUCCUCCAUGCAAGCAUCUCCACCAACUCAAAAUGAGGAAGAGGCUCAAGUUGAUGAAGAAGAAGAUCAAUCAAAUGAGCCACCUCAAGAUGAUGGCAAUGAUCAAGGGGGAGAUGCAAAUGAGGAAGACGAGGAAGAGGAACAAAGGCCGCCACACCCAAGAGUCCAUCAAGCAAUCCAACGAGAUCACCCCGUCGACACCAUCCUCGGCGAUAUUCAUAAGGGGGUAACCACUAGAUCUCGUGUUGCUCAUUUUUGUGAACAUUACUCGUUUGUUUCCUCUAUUGAGCCACACAGGGUAGAGGAAGCACUACAAGAUUCGGAUUGGGUGGUGGCGAUGCAAGAGGAGCUCAACAAUUUCACUAGGAAUGAGGUAUGGCAUUUAGUUCCACGUCCUAACCAAAAUGUUGUAGGAACCAAAUGGGUCUUCCGCAACAAGCAAGACGAGCAUGGUGUGGUGACAAGGAACAAAGCUCGACUCGUGGCCAAGGGGUAUUCACAAGUCGAAGGUUUGGAUUUUGGUGAAACCUAUGCACCCGUAGCUAGGCUUGAGUCAAUUCGCAUAUUAUUAGCCUAUGCUACUUACCAUGGCUUUAAGCUUUAUCAAAUGGACGUGAAAAGUGCCUUCCUCAACGGACCAAUCAAGGAAGAGGUCUAUGUUGAGCAACCUCCCGGCUUUGAAGACAGUGAGUAUCCUAACAAUGUCUAUAAGCUCUCUAAGGCGCUUUAUGGGCUCAAGCAAGCCCCAAGAGCAUGGUAUGAAUGCCUUAGAGAUUUUCUUAUUGCUAAUGGCUUCAAAGUCGGUAAAGCCGAUCCUACCCUAUUCACUAAAACUCUUGAAAAUGAUUUGUUUGUAUGCCAAAUUUAUGUUGAUGAUAUCAUAUUUGGGUCUACUAACGAAUCUACUUGUGAGGAAUUUAGUAGGAUCAUGACACAGAAAUUCGAGAUGUCAAUGAUGGGGGAGUUGAAGUAUUUUCUAGGAUUCCAAGUCAAACAACUCCAAGAGGGCACCUUCAUAAGCCAAACGAAGUACACUCAAGACAUCUUAACCAAGUUUGGGAUGAAGGAUGCUAAACCCAUCAAGACACCCAUGGGAACUAAUGGGCAUCUCGACCUCGACACGGGAGGUAAGUCCGUGGAUCAAAAGGUAUAUCGGUCGAUGAUAGGUUCUUUACUCUAUUUAUGUGCAUCUCGACCGGAUAUUAUGCUUUCCGUAUGCAUGUGUGCAAGAUUCCAAGCCGACCCUAAGGAAGCUCACCUUACGGUCGUGAAACGAAUCUUGAGAUAUUUGGCUUAUACUCCUAAGUUUGGGCUUUGGUAUCCUAGGGGAUCCACUUUUGAUUUGAUUGGUUAUUCGGAUGCCGAUUGGGCGGGGUGCAAAAUCAAUAGGAAGAGCACAUCGGGGACUUGCCAGUUCUUGGGAAGAUCCUUGGUGUCUUGGGCUUCAAAGAAGCAAAAUUCGGUUGCUCUUUCCACCGCCGAAGCCGAGUACAUUGCCGCAGGCCACUGUUGCGCGCAAUUGCUUUGGAUGAGGCAAACCCUGCGGGACUACGGUUACAAAUUAACCAAAGUCCCUUUGCUAUGUGAUAAUAAGAGUGCAAUCAAAAUGGCGGAUAAUCCCGUCGAACAUAGCCGCACUAAACACAUAGCCAUUCGGUAUCACUUUUUAAGGGAUCACCAACAAAAGGGAGAUAUCGAGAUUUCUUACAUUAACACUAAAGAUCAAUUAGCCGAUAUCUUUACCAAGCCUCUUGAUGAACAAUCUUUUCACAAACUUAGGCAUGAGCUAAAUAUUCUUGAUUCUAGGAACUUCUUUUGCUAGAUUGCACACAUAGCUCAUUUAUAUACCUUUGAUCAUGUCUUUUUCAUAUGCUAUGACUAAUGUGUUUUUCAAGUCUAUUUCAAACCAAGUCGUAGGUAUAUUGAAAGGGAAUUGGAGUCUUCGGCAAAGACAAAGGCUUCCACUCCGUAACUCAUCCUUCGCCGUCGCUCCAAGAGAUUCUCCAUUCUUGGGGGAGAAAAGCUGAGCAUCAAAGAAAAGGACCUUGUCUUUGGGGGAGAGAGUAAGAGCCCAAAGCAAAAGGACCGGACUUCGUCUUUGGUAUAAUCUUAACUCAUUUAUUUAUUACCAAAGGGGGAGAUAGCACUUCGAGGGCUCUAAUGACUCCGUUUUUUGGCGAUUCAUGCCAAAAAGGGGGAGAAAUGAGCCCAAAGCAAAAGGACCGCACCACACCACCAAUUUCAAAAACUUUGUGUUUCCAAGAAUAUUAUCAAUUGGUUUUCUUAUUGUAUUCAAAAAGGGGGAGAAAGUAGUAUUUCAAAAUGUUAUAUCAAAACCCUCUUGAACACUAAGAGGUGGAUUUCAUUUAGGGGGAGUUUUGUUUAGUCAAAGGAAAAGCAUUUGAAACAGGGGGAGAAAAUGUCAAAUCUUGAAAAUACUUUGCAAGCUUUUAUUCACUUACCUUUGACUAUUUGCAAAAGAACUUUGAAAAGAAUUUACAAAAGAGUUUUGCAAAAACAAAACAUGUGGUGCAAGCGUGGUCCAAAAUACUAAAUAAGAAAGAAACAUUCCAUGCAUAUCUCGUAAGUAGUUAUAUUGGCUCAAUUCCAAGCAACCUUUUGCACUUACAUUAUGCAAACUAGUUCAAUUAUGCACUUCUAUAUUUGCUUUGGUUUGUGCUGGCAUCAAUCACCAAAAAGGGGGAGAUUGAAAGGGAAUUAGGCUUACACCUAGUUCCUAAAUAAUUUUGGUGGUUGAAUUGCCCAACACAAACAAUUGGACUAACUAGUCUGCUCUAGUGUAUAAGUUAUACAGGUGCUAAAGGUUCACACUCAGCCAAUAAAAAGAUCAAUUGUUGGAUUCAACAAAAGAGCAAAGGGCCAACCGAAGGCACCUCUGGUCUGGCGCACCGGACUGUCCGGUGUGCCACCGGACAUGUCCGGUGCACCAGAGGACUCCAACUCGAACUCGCCACCUUCGGGAAUUUCCAGAGGCACUCGCGCUAUAAUUCACCGGACUGUCCGGUGUACACCGGACAGUGUCCGGUGCGCCAAGGAAGAGCGGCCUCAGGAACUCGCCAGCUUCGGGAAACUCCAACGGCUAGUCCGCUAUAAUUCACCGGACUGUCCGGUGUGCACCGGACUGUCCGGUGCGACUCCGGAGCAACGGCUACAUCGCGCCAACGGCUACCUGCGACGCAUUAAUUGCGCGCGCAGCGCGCGCAGAAGUCAGGCGCGCCCAUACUGGCACACCGGACAAGGAACAGUACGUGUCCGGUGUGCACCGGACACCCAGGCGGGCCCACAAGUCAGAAGCUUCAACGGUCGAAUCCAACGGCAGUGAUGACGUGGCAGGGGGCACCGGACUGUCCGGUGCGCCAUCGGGCAGACAGGCUGCCAACGACCACUUUUGGUGGUUGGGGCUAUAAAUACCCCAACCACCCCACCAUUCAUUGCAUCCAAGUUUUCCACUUCCCAACUACUACAAGAGCUCUAGCAUUCAAUUCUAGACACACCAAAGAGAUCGAAUCCUCUCCAAAUCCCACACAACGCCAUAGUGACUAGAGAGAGUGAUUUGCUUGUGUUCUUUCGAGCUCUUGCGCUUGGAUUGCUUUCUUCUUUCUUGAUCCUUUCUUUGCAAUCAAACUCACUUGUAAUUGAGGCAAGAGACACCAAUCUUGUGGUGGUCCUUGCGGGAACUUUGUGUUCCAAGUGAUUGAGAAGAGAAAGCUCACUCGAUCCGUGGAUCGUUUGAGAGAGGGAAGGGUUGAAAGAGACCCGGCCUUUGUGGCCUCCUCAACGGGGAGUAGGUUUGCAAGAACCGAACCUCGGUAAAACAAAUCUCUGUGUCUCACUUGCUUAUUCGCUUGGGAUUUGUUUUGCGCCUCUCUCGCGAACUCGUUUCUUUAUUACUAACGCUAACCCGGCUUGUAGUUGUGUUUAUAUUUGUAAAUUUCAGUUUCGCCCUAUUCACCCCCCUCUAGGCGACUAUCAAAUAUCUUGGAGUACAAUUAAGUGCUGCAAGCUAAAAUUUCACCACAACUCUAUGAUGCAUGAAAUAUUUUAUGGUAAUCUAUUGUUUAUGCUUGUAACUCCAAAUAGAAAAUAAAAAGUUUAACAAAGAAAUACGAAUCCUAAUGUCGCUUUUACAAUUAUGGUUUUUUCAUUCCUUUUUGCCCUUUCCUCCCACGUAUUUAACUCCAAAAGACUGCAAGCUAAUAAUCCCUCUCAUGUCUCUACCACAUGGACAUUUUAUUGUUCUGUUGGUCACACUACUGCAAUUAGAAAAAUAUCUUUGAAUACAAUUAUGUGUCUAAAACUUAGUUCCAUAUUCCAAUAAUAUUUUUAUUAUAUAAUAGUUACUUUGUGUUCACAUGAAAAUACCUACACAAUCUUUUACAUGUUUAAAAUCUUCUCUGUUUUCUUAUGGAUCACAACAUAGUUGCUUUCUAAAAGCUUGGUUUUCCUUCCCUACAAACAAAUGGUCUCUUAUAUUUACAAUAUGUAUGUAACCUCAUAAACUUUCAUAUACGACCUAAAAAACAACUUAUUACAAAUAAGUGCACAGUUCUUCCCUUUCUACUAGGGAAAUAAUAUAGUUACAUAAAACCGCGGAAUCAAGUCGCCAUCAUCGGAUAGAUAAACGAGCGGUGUCGCAGAAAAAUAAGGAACUACAUAACUGUGUUGACAUGGAUUCCGAUGAACAUAUUGCAAAUAGGAAGAAAAGAAAACACAGUAAGUAUUCUUUCUUCUUUUUUUGGAAAUGAAAUCACUUAUUACUUCCGUUUAUAACUAUGUACCUUAUCCACUUAAUAAAUCACUAGGUCAGUACCCGUACGUUGCAACGGGAACAUAUAAUACCAUGAUAACUUAUAUACAAAAUGUGUCUUAUAUUGUUAUAAGAAAAUAUUUCAUAAUCCAUUUGUGAUCCUAGCCAUACAUAAAUUUUGUUAUUUUAAUUUAGUUGUUUCACUACUACAUUGCAACCAUCAGUAUCAUGCAGACUUCGAUAUAUGUCAUGAUUUGCAUGGUCUCAUUAUUGGAGAGCACGUGCCACACCUGCCGGUAGAAGUUCCGUCGUACAUCGUUAGUCAUCAGGCACGCACCACCAUACACGCUUGCUUAAACAAAAAAUGCAAGUGUGUGUUUGCGAAGAGAAUUAAAGGCAGGCCGGCACAAAAGGUACCCCGACGAUGGCGAGUGGUCAUUGUUGUCGGUCCACCUCUGUUCACCUCCGGUGUCGAGAUGACGCCACAAUCCUUGAUAUAAUAGUCGUCGAACGCGCGCGAUAUGGUGAGUACCGAUCACUCUUGGUCGGGCUGCCAAAUGAAGUGCACCCCGGGCUCAUCAGCGAGGUAGUACACCUGGUCGUUGCACCACCGGAUGUGCUACUCCUCUACAUUCAUCUUGUUCGAGGACACUCACACAACAACAACAAUGGUCGUCAUUCCAGCGAACAAGAAUUCAUGGCCGAUCAGUAGCGACUUACGUGGUAGGUUAGGCUUCAGGUGGAUGAUGAGCUAGACGGCGUGAUGGCGUCGUCGUAGGUUGCGAUGCCCAGAACAACCCGAGAGUCGUCGAUAUUGGCGACGACCAUGAGGUCCCCAUGUUUGAUGAUGGACAGCGCGGUGCAGCCGCUCUGGACCACGUCCAAGCGGCGGCUGCGCCGGAGCUUGCCGUACACAGCGGCACAUGGGCCAUGUAGGACUGCUUCCAGAGGUCGAACUGGUAGUCGCCAAGUUUCUUCUCGUCGUCGGUGAGCGACGCCAACGCGAGCGCCUCGUGCUAGUGGUGUUUGUUCGGGAUUUCCAAGUAAGAAACAUGGAUUCAUCUUUGGCAUUGGUUUAUGAAAAUGAUUUAUAAGUUAGAUCCAUGGAAAAAUAUUACGAAGAAUAAAUGUUACACAUGCAAAAAAAAUAUUUAAGUUGAAAACAUUAUUCAAACAAAAGAAAUUGCAUGCAAGACUCUUCUUUAAAUACUACUUCCUCAAUCAAAAAUAUAAUUUAAUAAUCUCAGUGAUACUUAUCUACUACUACACAUUGUGCAGGUAGCAGGUGAGCUUCGGGAGAGAUGUAUUAUAUGUUUUUACUAUAAUAGAUGUAGACAUAAACACACAUGUGGUGUAGUGGUAGCUACAAACACAUUUAUUUGAGAGGUCGCGGGUUCGAAUCCCCUUGGACCCUGUUUUUUUAAUUUAAUUUUAGCUAGGUGUGGGAUGCACGUGGGAAUGAGAAUAGGCUUUGUGGGAGGGGGAAUGAGAAAGACACGUGAUAGCCGGGAAUGGAAAUGGGAAUGACAGAACACGGAAUGAGGCAGCCUACCCCUUACCGUCUUAAUAGGUAGUAGAGAUUUUAAAAAAUAACAAGUUCGUCUGUAUUGUUUUCACCACCAAUAAUCACAGAAGCAAGGCAAAAUCACAGACGUUUGUUAAACCAACAACGUAUUGUUAAAAAAUCACAGACGUUGAGAUAGGGCGUCUGAUCCAAUCAAGCCUAAGGACGAGAAAAAGAAAAAUGAAAGUUGAGGAAAAAAAAGAUAAGAGGAGACACCCACUUGAAUCGAAAUGAUCCGUGUGCCCAAUCAAGUAUCCAAAGGGUUGCUAUUGCUAAUUGAAUGUCAAAAUCAACGACGUUAGACAUAUUGAUGUCUCGUUCUGGCAUUGACCUGUCUUAAGGAAUAAAGAGGCACUGAAUUCUCUUGCACAAGCGCAUCAGAUUGUGACAACUUAGCACACGCCGAAAGUAAAUUAGUUGGAUAGCGAACUUGAUUGUUUGCAGCCACGAAAUCCAAGCACUUCAGCAAAUCUGCAAUGGUAGUUGCUAGUGUGAAUCGCAAUUAUUCGCAGAUAGACGACAAUAAACACUGGGUAUCGAUACUGUCCGCAAGAACGUGCAUCACAUAAACAAGCUGCAAAGUAUGUCAAAUACAGCAUUCAUCCUACGUUAUCUCAUUGUCUACAGUAUGCGUUGAGGAGGGUUCAAAUGUAACCACCACAUGGCGCUGGAGCAAAUCAGUUUACAGAGUAAUAAAACCAAGACAAUCUUCAGGCUGGCUGCUCAUAAGUGACGCUGCUAUUGUUGUCUGAACUAGUAUCAUCAACAGACAGCUUACUCCACCUCUUCCAAGAAAUCCUUGAUCUCUGCUGGGCUUAAAACUCUGUAUUUUGUAUGGAAAAACUGUUAGUUCUCAGCAAACCAUUUGAAUGUAGCAAGGACUUUGUAAUAUCGCAUAGCUCCAGGUUUGCAAAAACAACAAAUAAACACAAACAUUUCCCCUACAGCUAGAGAGGCACAAGUUGUUAGCAAACCCUAAAGAAACAGAUUCUUCGUAUAGUCAGGGAGCAAUGAGCGAUGCAGUAAUUUUGAACCAUAUAAAUAUGGCAGUAAGAUUGAGUCUCUGUAACUUACUUGAACUCACGAUCAGCUCGAAUAAUUCCGAUUUCAAUGUUGUUGGAGGAAAUUUGCCCCUCAUAUCUGCAAGUCCAAGAUCCGGAACCAAUUAUUAACUAUUUAGGAUAUUUCUAAACUAAGCAAGUACAACAGGGAUGCGAGCGAUACCCUUCUUUCAAAGUCAAAAUUGCAGUGUGGAUGGCAUCAUCAAGCUCCAUAUCUUCUGUGUAUCUACAAUGAAACCAUACAAAUAUAACAUGUGAAAUCAGAGGGAAAGGAUGAACAAUUAUAGCACACAUGCUGCUUACAUUAAUCACUGAUGAGGUAGAUAAAAUCAACUGGAAUUUAUUUACAAUCGGAUGAAAGAAUAUUAUCAGCAGUACUGUGUCACAACUCAAAACAGUGUCUAGAUCAAGUGCACAACAUUACUACAUUGAGGCUGUACCUCUUUUCAAGAAACGUCUUUGCAUUGGACACAUUUUUUCCCAUGGCUGAUGCCUUCCAGGAGAAGUAUGAUCCUGAGGGAUCAACCUGAAGAAAUUGGCAACAAUGUCAGUUGUCCUGAGUUUAUGAAGGUACAUCCUACAGUAUCAUGGUGAUUGUUAGCACAAAAGUACACAUUAUUCACUUUCUAAGUACUACUUGUGAUCAUCUCUUGUAAAGCAAUAAGCAGUUUUCUUUGGAAGGUUAAUAAACAGGUUUCUAUCUUGUAGCUUCUUCAGUAUACCUGAUACAACUGCGGGCCAUUGUCAUCAUACCCAGCAAUCAACAGUGAUACUCCAAAUGGUCUCACACCACUGAUACAAGCAAGGAUAACAAGUAAAACUCAUUAGCAUAUACCUAUCUCAAGCUUUCACUAAUCACCUUAACACCCCAAACAAUAGAGGCUAGUACAUGUUUUUGACCGGAUGGUGUAUAUCCUAGCAAUCUCUAUUAGUUUAGCUUUUUGGUCAAGCCAUCACGAUGACGUAAAGUGGAUCAAUAAAUGGAAAUAGCUACUAAAUGUUAUAGAUAUAGUGCAUAUUUUAUGUAUGAAGCUGAUUGACUUGCUUGGCAACUAAAUAAAAUUUAACCCUCAAUAUCACGAAUUAAUUGUAAAUCAAUAACUGGAUUGCAUACAGGAAUACUGUAAGAUCUCUAGGAGUGAUCGCAAUACAUUUAAGUAAUGUACAAAUAAGGGACUCAAACAGCUAAAGCAAACAAUGCUACUCCAAGUGUAUACUUUGAGUCUUUGACUAUCAAAAUUUUUAUUAAAUGCAUAUUAAUAGAAGGGUAGACCGUGCAGGGAUGAGAACUGUCUCACUGAGUCACUAGGUUGUGGGUUCGAAACAGCCUCUCCGUAUUUGCGACAAAAAGGCUUGCUCGGUUUACCCCUUCACUAGACCCCACUCAUGUGGGAGACUCCAACACUUGGUCUACUCUUUGUUAUGAGAACUGUCUCACUGAGUCACUAGGUUGUGGGUUCGAAACAGACUCUCCGUAUUUGCGAGAAAAAGGCUUGCUCGGUUUACCCCUUCACUAGACCCCACUCAUGUGGGAGCCUCCGACACUUGGUCUACUCUUUUUUUUUAUAUUAUAAGCAGCUAAAACAAUGCAGUGUUAUUCCAAGGGUAUACUUAGAAUAUAAAAAAAUUAAUAAAUGCAUAUAGUAUUAUGAGCAUGCAGAUGGUCCCAUAAAUAUGAAUAUCAACUUAAGUUUUUAUGAAUAAUAAUAAAUUAGGCAGUGCAUGCCAUUAUUUUAUGCACAAAUAGGCAAAUAGAAAUAACUAAGUCUAGUUACAUACCCUGACUGUGUGAACUCCUGCAUGACAGCAGCAGUCUCUCGUACAAGCUGUGUUACAGGUAUAUGUUCCUGCAUUUGGAAAUGAAACAAUAAUUUAAAACACAUUUUGCUACCUGACAGCGAGGUUGCAGCAGGGAAUAUAUUUUUAAAUUACAAAUUCACUUCAAUAGCGUUUUUAACAUAUGAGAAUUUUUAUAACUAUCCAAAAAGAUACAAAGAGGCUUCCUUGAAAAUCGUUGGGGCGUAACCCUCUUAGCGACGCACCAUAUCGGAACCCGGGUAUGAUGUUAAAUGAGCAAGGGCCGGGCCGUCACCCCUUAAGUGACGCGCCGUCUCUUGAUCUGGAGCCGGUGAUAAGUGAGCAAGGAUCGGGUCGUCGCAUCCUUAGUAGCGCGCUACAUCGGCGCCCGGGUGUAGUGGAAAAUGAGCAAGGGUCUUUGCAUCUUCCUCGGCGGGUGCGAAGGGUAAGGAAGCUAGUCGAGCCAACUAGGGUCCGUGUAGGUAGUUGGAACGUAGGUUCCUUAACAGGUAAGUUACGAGAAAUAGUCGACGUUGCGGUGAGGAGACGGGUAAAUAUUUUAUGUGUUCAAGAGACCAAGUGGAAAGGACAAAAGGCGAAGGAAGUGGAAGGUACAGGCUUCAAGUUGUGGUACACGGGGACUGCAGCAAACAAGAAUGGAGUAGGCGUCUUGAUCGACAAGAGCCUUAAAGAUGGGGUAGUAGAUGUUAAGAGGCUAGGAGAUAGAAUCAUCCUAGUCAAACUGGUCAUUGGGGACUUGGUUCUCAAUGUUAUCAGCGUGUAUGCUCCUCAAGUAGGCCUUAAUGAGAACUCAAAAGGGAGUUCUGGGAAGGCCUAGAGGACAUGGUUAGUAGUGUGCCAGUUGGCGAGAAGCUCUUCAUAGGAGAUCUCAAUGGCCAUGUGGGUACAUCUAGCACCAGUUUCGAGGGUGUGCAUGGAGGCUUCGGCUUUAGGACUAGGAAUCAAGAAGGAGAGGAAAUCUUGAACUUUGCCCUAGCCUAUGACAUGUUUAUAGCAAACACUUUCUUUAGGAAGAGGAAAUCCCACCUGGUGACCUUCAGUAGUGGCCAACACACUAGCCAGAUUGAUUUCGUCCUCUUGAGAAAAGAGGACAGACAUGCCUGCUUAGAUUGCAAGGUUAUACCUGGAGAGUGUGUGGUAACCCAACAUAAGCUUGUCGUAGCUGACUUCCGUUUUAAGAUUCGUUUACAACGGAAUAAGCAUAACAAGGUCACUAGAACAAAGUGGUGGAAGCUUAAAGGGGAUGUGGCCCAAACUUUCAAGGAGAGAGUUAUCGAGGAGGGCCCUUGGGCAGAAGAGGGAGACGCAAACAUCAUGUGGAGGAAGAUGGCGACAUGCAUCCAAAAGAUAGCUUCAGAAGAGUUUGGUUUGAGUCAAGGAAACAGAAGGGAAGUUAAAGACACUUGGUGGUGGAACGAAGAUGUCCAAAAGGCUAUCAAGGAGAAGAAAGAUUGCUACAAACGCUUACAUCAUGACAAGUGUGCAGACAAUAUAGACAAGUACAUGAUAGCGAAGAAGUUUGCAAAGCGAGCGGUUAGUAGAGCGCGGGGUCAAGCCUAUGACGACCUUUAUCAACGGUUGGACACAAAGCAGGGAGAAAAGGAUAUCUAUAGGAUGGCCAAGAUUCGUGAAAGGAAGACAAGGGAUGUCAACCAAGUCAAAUGCAUCAAGGAUGAAGCAAACCAACAAUUAGUGAAGAAUGAAGAGAUCAAGAACAGAUGGAAGGAGUACUUCAACAAAUUGUUCAAUGGAGGGAAUGAGAGUUCUACAAUAGAAUUGGACGAACCAUUCGAUGACAACAACAGGGGUUUUGUACGAAGGAUACAAGAAUAUGAAGUUAAGGAGGCGCUAAAAAGGAUGAAGGUAGGAAAGGCGAUGGGCCCUGAUGGUGGGCCUUGGAAAAACACAAAGUAUCAACAAAGUACAUUAAUCUUAUUAAAGAUAUGUACACUAAUGUUGUGACAAGUGUCCGAACAAGUGAUGGAGACACCGAUGACUUUCCAAUUAACAUAGGACUACAUCAAGGGUCGGCUUUGAGCCCUUAUCUUUUCGCUUUGGUGAUAGAUGAGGUCACAAGGGACAUACAAGGAGAUAUACCGUGGUGUAUGCUUUUUGCCGAUGAUGUGGUACUUAUUGAGGAGAGUAGGAGUGGUGUUUCGCAAAAGUUGGAAUUGUGGAGGCAAACGCUGGAAGCAAAAGGUUUUACGCUUAGUAGGUCUAAAACAGAGUAUAUGAAGUGUGAUUUCAGUACCAUGGGGUAUGAGGAUGGCGAUGUUAGUCUUGAUGGGCAAGUGGUACCCAAGAAAGACAUUUUUCGUUACUUAGGAUCAAUGCUUCAGAAGGAGGGAGACAUCGAUGAGGAUGUCAGUCAUAGAAUUAAAGCUGGAUGGUUGAAGUGGCGGCAAGCUGCGGGUGUCUUAUACGACCCCUGGGUGCCACACAAACUAAAAGGCAAAUUCUACAGGACAGCAGUCCGACCGGCUAUGUUGUAUGGAGCAAAAUGUUGGCCCACUAAAAUACGACAUGUCCAACAACUAAGUGUGGCAGAGAUGUGUAUGUUGCGCUGGAUAUGUGGCCACACAAGAAGAGACCGAGUCCGAAAUGAUGAUGUACGAGAGAGAGUAGGAGUGGCGCCAAUUGAGGAGAAGCUUAUGCAACAUCGUUUGAGAUGGUUUGGACAUAUCCAACGAAGAUCUGAAGAGGCACCAGUGCAUAUCGGAAUAAUUAGGCGUCUCGAGAAUGUGAAGAGAGGUAGAGGUCGACCAACCUUGACGUGGACAGAGGCUGUGAAGAGGGACCUGAAGGAGUGGAAUAUUGAUAAAGAGCUCGCCGUGGAUAGGAAGCGGUGGAAAAGUGCAAUUCACGUGCCAGAACCCUGAUUUGUAGUUUCGCUUUUCCUCCUUAAUCGUUUGACCUUUUUUUGUGCCCUUUUAGAUCUUGCUGGUUCUUGUGGGUUUUAUCUCUUUUAAUGUGUUUUCCCGUUUCGUCGUUUUUCAGUUCUCCUUUGCCUUUGUCUCCCUUUUCUUUUCUUUGGGGUUGAGCUCUGAGGUUUUCAUAUGGGGUUUCAUCUCUAGCCUACCCCAACGUGCUUGGGACAAAAAGGCUUUGUUGUUGUUGUUGUAUCCAAAUAGAUAAAAAGAGGCACCAAAUGAAAACAUGCAGUACCCCUACCUAGAUAUGAUCAUAUGAUUAAAGUACCUCUCCAUACCUCUAAGGCAUGUAAGAAGUCUCUUACCAGAUAUAUAAAUAUUUUCCAGAAAUCUAACUUAGCAAGUUGCCAAAAAGUAUACCUUGUACAACCGAUAAUAUUGUUGUGCCUGCUUUCGACUUUUUCUCACCAGAACACGGAAAUCUGGACCCAUCCCACUGAAAACAAUGCAAGAAAAGUGCAUGAAUAGAACGUGAUAGAAAAAACUUGACAAUUGAGAAGAUGCACUAAAGGUCCAUAACUUCAACAACAACCAACAUUGAACUUCAACACAAUUGUAAUGUAUUCCAAUUCCAAAAUAGAAAAUUUAAAUGAAUACAAGAUCAAAAAAGAUAGUGCAGUACCUAUAGACAACUCCAAUAUUAGGUGUUAGUGCCUGAAUCUUUUGCACCUGAAAAGUUUUUCAUGCAGGUAUCUGUUUAGCACUCGUCAUGGAGAAAGGUCAGAAUGUGGCAAAAGAGAAAUUCAAAAACUUAGAUACACAUACAGAUGUUUCAUCCACUAAAAUAGAAGGCAGCUUCUUCUCAGUGGCAAUGACUACACCAUUGGCAGCUGCAAACAUGAUAUAUUUCGGAAUUAACAAAGAGGCAGAAGUAAAACAAAAUGGUUGUACUGCCUAACCAAGGACCAUGUAUAUUACAUAGAACAUUAUAAUUUGAUUUAAAAAGAAUAGUAUGGAACGAAUCAUUACACUACAGCUACUAAAUCUAUCAAUAGUGACUUCUGAAGGAACUUCGAAUAUCAUGUUAAUUAGGAAGUUCAGAUAACAAAAGAUGGUCAUUAGACUCCUGUGCAGUGUGUUUGUGCUCUAGAUAUGAUGUGGGCAAACAAACAUGCAAUUUCCAAGUACCCAUUCAACAUCAAAGCAACCAAACGACGAUAGAUCUUCAUCAACUUCUACAACAUGAAUAAGCAUCAAGAAGAAAGAAAAUUUGGGCACAUUUACGCUUGAACAUGCAGGAAAAUUAGGGAAAUACGUGAAAUGCAUUUAGCAUCAAUAGUCGUCAAGAACUUACAAACCCAACCUCAAAUAACUUAUAAUUCACAUUAGAUUAGAGAAAUGAUUUAAUGAUGACUAAAAUUGGUACUCCCUCUGCUUCAAGUUAUAAGAUAUUUUGGUUUUCCUAGAUGCAUUGUUUUAACUAUGUAUCUAGACAUAUAUAAGUAAAUAGCAAAAGAUAUAUAUCUAGAACAGCCAAAACAUCUUAUAAUUUCGAAUGGAGGGAGUAGUAACCGUUAAUUAGUCGGUGAUUUUUUUUUUGCACCUCCCAACCUGAACUUAUGAAUCAUGCAAUGGCCCAAGCAACAAUCCAUACAAAUUGAAAACAGCUGCAAAUGUGUGUAAAUAACUAUGAGAUAAGAAAAUCACAACAAUAUAAACAGUUGAAUUUACAUCUAGGUAUCUUCAAUUAACACUGCAAUUGCUAACGAGAAAGGAUGGAAGUCCUAAUCAACGCAAAGACACAAACACCCGAAGACAAACCCAAAAUAAUACACUUCCAGAGGAUCAUAAUUCUAAUUUCUAAACCCUCCCCAAUGACCUAAUGUUAUGAACGUGACAAGACGUCAUAAUGCCGUUUCAAAUCUCCGUGUCCUAGCAACGGCAAAAUACUAAUACAUCAAAGGGUGAGAGGGGAUUACUGCGCAGAUCGAACCUUUGAUCCCGAGCGAGGUCUGCCCGGAUCCGACAGCCGUGAGCGCGUGCUCAAUCUGCACGAGCUUCCCCGACGGACUGCAACGAAAUCAACCGAAAAAAUCCGGAUCAAACCACCGUAACGACGCAAAAUCCCCCGAUCUCGACGGAGAAGGCGAGCAAGCGAGAGAUGCAGGGAGAGGAGCACGAACCUGAAGGUGGUGAGGGAGAAGGAGUACUGGCUGUCACCCAUGGGCGCGGUGGGGAGUCACCUCGUUAGCUCUUCCGGGAUGGAGUGUCGGCGACUCGUGGCAAGGUUUUUCCUGCUGGCAAAAUAAGAAAUAAGACUAAGUUUGAAAGAUACAGUGAAACUCUAUAGUGAAAAUGAACCAUGAUGGGCUUAUCACGGGUAGGGAUGUCAACGGGGCUGCUCCCCGUCGGGGACUGCUCCCCGUACCCGUACCCGCCAAAAUAAAAAUUCCCUGUUCCCCGUCCCCGUCCCCGUCGGGUAUACGAGGAUCCGAUGGGGAAAAAUCCCCGCCAACAGCCCAGUUAAAAAUCAUGUCCAGCACAAUAAAUAAGUAGCAUAUUACAUUUGCAAAUAUAUAAACAACACAAAUCAUAGCAGCUAUUGCAACUAUGGCAUGGUACAUCACAAGUCACUAAUACAAUAAUAAGAAGUAAUAACCCUAUUAUAUAGUACAGCCACAAUGCCACAUAGCAGUACCAGACUACUAGCUAUUACACACAUGAAUGAAGCCGAGCAGCUGAGCAGCACGUGACCCCCUAAAUUUUGGUAAACAAGCUGCACCAACACCUUGAUUAGAUAACAAGAAAGCAAGAACUCGUACACUGUCAACUCAUGUCGACCUUGCUCGUUUUCAAGAACAAAAAUCUAGACAGGCCACGGAUCGAUGUAUUGGAUUAGCAGGGCAUCCGUCAGCACACAAAUCUACAACUAACUGAACGAAUCAGAAGAAGGAUUUUAGGGUUCGAUUGCCAACAAAGCCCUUCGGACUAGGGAAUCCAAGCAAGCUCGUGUAUGAUUGCUUACCGAAACGAAAGCGAGGCUGCACACGGUAUGCUUAAAAAUAAUUCAAUUUAUGGAAAUAUUAAAAUAAUAAUAAUAGCACCCACCGGUACCUAUUGGACAGGCAAUCAAAGUUCUGACUGUCAACCGCGGUGCCAGUGUAGUGUGUACUUGCAUGGAGACGCCAUAGACACUUGACAUUGUGAAAUCAACAUCACAAUUACACAAUUCCUUUUUCGAAAAUAAAACACAAGACGAUUACACGUUGGAACCCCCAAUCUCUAAACCCAGAAUAUCAUCUAGAAACCUGAGCAGAGAAGCAUACCGUGUGCAGACCUUGGAGAGGCCGGCGGCCGUGUGAGGUAGAGGGAAGGUGGUAGCGGCCGUGGGAUGUAGAGGGAGGUGACCGAGAGAUGGAAGCUGGCCGCGUCCAAUGGAGAGGGAAGCAGCUUCCGCGGUUGUGAGGAGGCGGCGGUCGGCG
rnacentral:lncRNA from 1 species